UACGAAGGGAGCUAGCGUUGUUCGGAAUAACUGGGCGUAAAGGGAGCGUAGGUGGAUGAAUACGUUAGAUGUGAAAGCCCCGGGCUCAACCUGGGAAUGGCAUUUAAUACGGUUUAUCUAGAAGGCGAGAGGGGAAAGCGGAAUGGCGAGUGGAGCAGUGAAAUGCAUUGAGAUUCGCUAGAACACCAGAGGCGAAGGCGGCUUUCUGGCUCGCCCUUGACACUAAGGCUCGAAAGCGUGGGGAGCAAACAGG
rnacentral:rRNA from 1 species